UGGGGAAUCUUGCACAAUGGGGGAAACCCUGAUGCAGCGACGCCGCGUGAGCGAUGAAGGUUUUCGAAUCGUAAAGCUCUGUCCUAUGGGAAGAUAAUGACGGUACCAUGGGAGGAAGCCCCGGCUAACUACGUGCCAGCAGCCGCGGUAAUACGUAGGGGGCGAGCGUUGUCCGGAAUUACUGGGCGUAAAGGGUUCGCAGGCGGAAAUGCAAGUCAGGUGUAAAAGGCAGUAGCUUAACUACUGUAAGCAUUUGAAACUGCAUAUCUUGAGAAGAGUAGAGGUAAGUGGAAUUUUUAGUGUAGCGGUGAAAUGCGUAGAUAUUAAAAAGAAUACCGGUGGCGAAGGCGACUUACUGGGCUCAUUCUGACGCUGAGGAACGAAAGCGUGGGUAGCAAACAGG
rnacentral:rRNA from 1 species